GACGAACGCUGGCGGCGUGCCUAAUACAUGCAAGUAGGACGCAGUUGCGAACGGGUGAGUAACGCGUAGGUAACUACCUAUUAGAGGGGGGUAACUAUUGGAAACGAUAGCUAAUACCGCAUACUAGUAGAUGGACCUGCGUUGUAUUAGCUAGUAGGGAGGGGAAUGGCCUACCUAGGCAACGAUACAUAGCCGACCUGAGAGGGUGAUCGGCCCAACUUGGACUGAGGCACGGCCCCGACUCCUUAGGGAGGCAGCCGUAGGGAAACUUCGGACAUUGGGGGAACGCUGACCGCGCCCCGCCGCGGGAUUGAAGAAGGUUUUCGGGUCGUAAAGCUCUGUUGUUAAGGAAGCGGUACUUAACCAGAAAGGGCCGGCUAACUACGUGCCAGCAGCCGCGGUAAUAC
rnacentral:rRNA from 1 species